rnacentral:rRNA from 1 species
GACGUAGGGCGCGAGCGUUGUCCGGAUUUAUUGGGCGUAAAGAGCUCGUAGGCGGCUUGUCGCGUCGAAUGUGAAAACCUGCAGCUCAACUGCAGGCUUGCAUUCGAUACGGGCAGGCUCGAGUUCGGUAGGGGAGACUGGAAUUCCUGGUGUAGCGGUGAAAUGCGCAGAUAUCAGGAGGAACACCGGUGGCGAAGGCGGGUCUCUGGAACCGGUACUGACGCUGAGACGAC